GAUGUGCUUGAAAGCGGCCUAUCGGAGAGCCUGGCACGCGGGAAGGAGCUUGUUUCAUUCAGUUCCAGACGCUGGAGCAAAGGUGGCCCAUCGCGCCCUGACUUCACUCUAGGACGUUCCGCCUCGAUAUCGAGAAGAGGAUGAUAGCAACAGGAACAAACCUGCCCGUGAGCCGUGAGAGCCCUCCCUGCCCACAGGGAGCCUGCUUGGCACCUGGGAACAGUGUGCAGAUGCCACCUGGCCCCGGAGGUAGAAUCUCAGUUCAUCUGGUGCUAAAAAGGACCUGAAACGAACACCAAAUAUAUGUUCAACCUUUAACACCUGCUACUAUUUCCAAGCCUAAGUGGAUAAGAAGAGCCUCCUGGACCUCUGUGUUCUCAUUUUCACUCUCCUGGAACCCCUCCUUCUCUCUUUCCCACUCUCAUCCUCCCCCCCGUCCCCCUUCAAGACUUCCUUAAAAUAUUUUUAAUCAACACAUUUUAUUUAAAAAUAAAUAGGCCCUGGCUGGGUGGCUCGGUUGGUUGGAGCAUCGUCCUGUACAACAAAAGGUUGCAGGUUUGAUUCCCGGGCAGAGCACAGACCUAUAUUUUAGGUUCAAUCCCUGGUCGGGGGUGCAUAUGGGAGGCAAUCGAUUGAUGUUUCUCUCUCACAUCAAUGUUUCUCUCUCUCUCUCUCUCUCUCUCUCUCUCUCU